AUACGUAGGUGGCGAGCGUUGUCCGGAAUUACUGGGCGUAAAGGGCGUGUAGGCGGCCUUUUAAGUCAGAUGUGAAAUCUCAGGGCUUAACCCUGAAACUGCAUUUGAAACUGGAGGGCUUGAGGAUCGGAGAGGGCAGUGGAAUUCCCAGUGUAGCGGUGAUAUGCGUAGAUAUUGGGAAGAACACCAGUGGCGAAGGCGACUGCCUGGACGACACCUGACGCUGAGGCGCGAAAGCUAGGGUAGCGAACGGGAUUAGAUACCCCGGUAGUCCUAGCCGUAAACGAUGGGUACUAGGUGUGGGAGGUAUCGACCCCUUCCGUGCCGCAGUUAACACAAUAAGUACCCCGCCUGGGGAGUACGGCCGCAAGGUUGAA
rnacentral:rRNA from 1 species